UGCGUUGAGCUCAUUAUCCAGAAAAGCACA
rnacentral:piRNA from 1 species